CAGCCGCCGCGGUAAUACGAAAGGUGCAAGCGUUAAUCGGAAUUACUGGGCGUAAAGCGUGCGUAGGUGGUGGUUUAAGUCCGUUGUGAAAGCCCUGGGCUCAACCUGGGAAUUGCAGUGGAUACUGGAUCACUAGAGUGUGGUAGAGGAUUGUGGAAUUUCCGGUGUAGCAGUGAAAUGCGUAGAGAUCGGAAGGAACAUCUGUGGCGAAGGCGACUAUCUGGGCCAACACUGACACUGAGGCACGAAAGCGUGGGGAGCAAACAGGAUUAGAUACCCGUGUAGUCCCUGUCUCUUAUAC
rnacentral:rRNA from 1 species